UGGCGGCGUGCCUAACACAUGCAAGUCGCACGAGAAAGUGGAGCAAUCCAUGAGUAAAGUGGCGCACGGGUGAGUAACACGUGAAUGAUCUACCUCCGAGUGGGGAAUAACCUAGAGAAAUCUGGGCUAAUACCGCAUAACACUUACGAGUCAAAGCAGCAAUGCGCUUGGAGAGGAGUUCGCGGCCGAUUAGUUAGUUGGCGGGGUAAUGGCCCACCAAGACGAUGAUCGGUAUCCGGCCUGAGAGGGCGCACGGACACACUGGAACUGAAACACGGUCCAGACUCCUACGGGAGGCAGCAGUGGGGAAUUUUGCGCAAUGGGGGAAACCCUGACGCAGCAACGCCGCGUGGAGGAUGAAAUCCCUUGGGAUGUAAACUCCUUUCGAUCGGGACGAUUAUGACGGUACCGGAAGAAGAAGCCCCGGCUAACUUCGUGCCAGCAGCCGCGGUAAUACGAGGGGGGCAAGCGUUGUUCGGAAUUAUUGGGCGUAAAGGGCGCGUAGGCGGUUUGACAAGUCUGAUGUGAAAUCUAUGGGCUC
rnacentral:rRNA from 1 species